rnacentral:misc_RNA from 1 species
GAUGAAGAACGCAGCGAAAUGCGAUAAGUAAUGUGAAUUGCAGAAUUCAGUGAAUCAUCGAAUCUUUGAACGCACAUUGCGCCCUCUUGUAUUCCGGGGGGCAUGCCUGUUCGAGCGUCAUUAUAACCACUCAAGCUUUCGCUUGGUAUUGGGGCUCGCGGUUCCGCGGCCCCUAAAAUCAGUGGCGGUGCCUGUCGGCUCUACGCGUAGUAAUACUCCUCGCGAUUGAGUCCGGUAGGUCUACUUGCCAGCAACCCCCAAUUUUUACAGGUUGACCUCGGAUCAGGUAGGGAUACCCGCUGAACUUAAGCAUAUCAAUAAGCGGAGGA